GUUCUCCAAUCAAGUAGGACUACCCGCUGAACUUAAGCAUAUCAAUAAGCGGAGGAAAAGAAACUAACAAGGAUUCCCCUAGUAACGGCGAGUGAAGUGGGAAAAGCUCAACUUUGUAAUCUGGCUCUUUCAGAGUCCGAGUUGUAGUCUAGAGAAGCGAUAUCCGCGCCGGACCUUAAACAAGGCUGUUGGAAUGCAGCGUCGUAGAGGGUGAGAAUCCCGUACAUGUUAAGGAACCCCGUGUGCAUUGUGAUGCGCUUUCUAAGAGUCGAGUUGUUUGGGAAUGCAGCUCAAAUCGGGUGGUAAAUUCCAUCUAAAGCUAAAUAUUGGCGAGAGACCGAUAGCGAACAAGUACCGUGAGGGAAAGAUGAAAA
rnacentral:rRNA from 1 species